rnacentral:tRNA from 1 species
ACGUGGCUGGCUCAGUAGGUAGAGCAUGCAACUCUUGAUCUCAGGGUUGUGAGUUCAAGCCUCAUGUGGAGUG